rfam:Stegodyphus mimosarum contig127133, whole genome shotgun sequence.
AAAGUGGCCUUUUUCAAGGCCAUAAAUUGAGAAAUGGCAGAACUAU